AUUGAACGCUGGCGGCCGGCUUAACACAUGCAAGUCGAAAGAGAGGAGGACGGGUGAGUAAUGAUUGUGAAUCUAGCUUAAGGAGGGGGAUAGCUACGGGGAAAUGUAGCUAAUACCGCGUCACAUCGGAUGCGCCCAAGUCGGAUUAGGUAGUUGGUGAGGUAAAGGCCAACGAAGCCGAAGAACGCUAGCUGGUCUGAGAGGAUGACCAGCCACGCUUGGACUGAGACACGGCGCAGACUCCGACGGUAGGCAGCAGUGGGGAAUAUUGCGCAAUGGGGGCAACCUGACGCAGCCAUGCCGCGUGAAUGAAGAAGGCCUUCGGGUUGUAAAGUUCUUUCGGUAGCGAGGCGUUAACUACAGAAUAAGCACCGGCUAACGCCGUGCCAGCAGCCGCGGUAAUAC
rnacentral:rRNA from 1 species